AUUGAACGCUGGCGGCAGGCCUAACACAUGCAAGUCGAGCGAGCGGCGGACGGGUGAGUAAUGUCUGGGAAACUGCCUGAUGGAGGGGGAUAACUACUGGAAACGGUAGCUAAUACCGCAUACCCUCAGAUGUGCCCAGAUGGGAUUGGCUAGUAGGUGGGGUAAUGGCGCACCUAGGCGACUAUCCCUAGCUGGUCUGAGAGGCUGACCAGCCAAACUGGAACUGAGACACGGUCCAGACUCCUACGGGAGGCAGAGGUGGGGAAUAUUGCACAAUGGGGGAAAGCCUGAUGCAGCCGUGCCGCGUGUGGGAAGAAGGCCGUCGGGUUGUAAAGCACUUUCAGCGGGGAGGCGUUACCCGCAGAAGAAGCACCGGCUAACUCCGUGCCAGCAGCCGCGGUAAUAC
rnacentral:rRNA from 1 species